AACGCACAUUGCGCCCCUUGGUAUUCCGGGGGGCAUGCCUGUUCGAGCGUCAUUUCAACCCUCAAGCCUUGCUUGGUCUUGGGCUCUGCCGGCAACGGCUUGCCUUAAACUCAGUGGCGGUGCCAUUCGAGCUCUACGCGUAGUAGUAAAACCCUCGCGAUUGAGUCUUGGUGGAUGCUGGCCAGCAACCCCUCAGUUUCUAUGGUUGACCUCGGAUCAGGUAGGGAUACCCGCUGAACUUAA
rnacentral:misc_RNA from 1 species